rnacentral:lncRNA from 1 species
AGUGCUAGCAGUUGCAGAAUACUUGAAGGCUAAAAUCUGCUCGCCAAGAUUCAAUCAACUCUUGAUCAAUCGUCUUGAAGCAGAUGGAGAUGAGAUUUGUAAGGAAGGUAGAGGACUCAGAUCUGAUCUUGAAUCUUCGAGAUAUCCACCCUGAAAAACCUAGCUAAAAUGAAGAAGAAGAGGAAGAGGAGGCGUGUGAGGAAGAAGGCUGCAAUGGAUGCUUUGCCGGCGCCCAUGUUCGACCCCUUUUAAUGGCCUCCGAAUUUCAUUCAAAAUUCAAAAAUUAUCUUCAAAAAACCUCCUUUAGUUGGCGCAUGCAAUGAAAUAGGAACAACCCAAAUCAAAAUCUCAACCAAAUCUGAUUUAAAUUCAAAUUUUAAACACAUGCGCAAGAGGGGAGGAAUUUGAAAUCCAUGCGGCAGAAUUUUCCUUCCUCUUGUCGCAUAUAUUUCAUUUGAAAUUCGAAUUUAAAUGAUUCAGAGGUUCACACGCCAGCUUGGAAAGUUAUUUGAUGUAUGAAAUCAUUUAAUAUAUUGUUUAGUGUUUGAAUUCAAAUUCAAACAACAAACAAUGUCGCCAUGUGUCAAGCAAUGGGUCCAUGCGCCAUGCAAUAAUUUUGGUUUAUUUAAAAUUCAUGAAAUCCAAUUCCAUGUCACCACUAAUUGCCACAUCAUCUGAAACUAAUCCCCUUGGGUUGCACCUAAUCAAAUUUGGUCAGACCCGGAUUAAAACAAAGCAAUUUGGUUGAACCCAAUCUAAUCAGGUCAGACCCUGAUUGAGCUCAAAUUGAAUCCAAUUCAAUUUUUGGCUCAUCCAAACUCAAUCAAAUUGAAUUAAUUACUUUUUGUUGGACCUAAUCCAAUUAGGUCAAUCCCCAAUUAAGCGCAAAUUAAUUUAAAUUUAAUUUGAUCGGCUUAAAUCCUUUUUGGUUCGGACCUAGUCCAAUCGGGUCAAAACCCUGAUUGAGCCCAAAGUUGAAUCAAUCAAUUUGGUUCAUCCUUAGCUCAAUUACUCAAUCAAAUUGAAUUCAUUAGCAAUCUAAUUACUAAUUAAUCCUCCGAUAAUUACUUUAAUUAUUUUACAAGAUAAUUUGCCAAUCGAAUUGACCAAAUUACCCCCGAAUGAUUCUUAAUCAUUCAUCAGCCUUCUUGAUCAAUCAGGAAUCUUCUAUGCGUGUGACCUCAUAAGUUCGAACCUAAGCCGGUAGUAUAGGAACGACUUCCUACACUAAUCGAUGUAACCAUCUAGCAAUGGUACCCGACGUCCGGAUAGGCCGAAUAUAUGCAAAACAAAUAUUCUGGAACUCUGGACUAUGGUUACUGUAUAAUUCAAUCCCUUUGACUCCUAAUGCCAGGAUGACUUAGAGCUCACUAUUAUAAUUAGUACAUCCAUUAUGUGAUUAACUUUAGAUAUCUCGUGACUCCUCACUGGGAUUACUCUGGCCAAGAUUUUGCUAAAUUAAUCACAAGACAUUAUCUCCUGUUUUUUAGAAGGGAUCAAUUCCAUCUUGACUCACAACUGACUAUGCAAGUACUUGACUGCACCUAGUGACCUUCCGUUACUGAAUUAGAAAUUCAGGUAGUCCGGUACCAAAGUAUAGUAAGUUGCUUGCUAGUUACAGAUUGCGGUUUUAGGUCAGAGGGCCAAACUUAUACCCAUAUCCACUCGGAACAUCUCUCGACAGUAGAGCGUUCCGGAAUUGGUCAUGUUCAGUGAAAUGUACUCCUACACUUCACCUGUGUGGCAUACCAGUGUCUCCACACUCCUUGGUUAAGAGGACAACCAACGUAUAUGUCACACAACGACCUAAUCUCGAUAAUGCUGUCGUCCUUGCAACAACAUAUCAUUUGGUCGCGAACUGCUUUAAGGAUUCAAAGAUAAAUCCUCCUUUAUCAUUAAUAAAUCCUAAGGACUUCAUCAUAUAAGAGUUCAUUUGAAGAUGUAAAAUGAUGAAUAAUGCCAAUAAAUACUUUAUUGAUUUGUCAAUUCAUUUACAAAAUUCAAUCAUCAAAAUGCUGACGAUUGACAUUUAGGAUACAAUUCCCAAUAGGAAGGAUGUCAACAUAAUAAAAUGUCUCACAAGGGCUUGACAGAAACGUUUUCUUCUUUUGACAACCCUGGAGGGACUGAUGCAUAAGUGUACCAUUUAAUAGAGACUUAAUUAAAAUAAUUCCUUCUUCUAACAUCCCUGGAAGGACUGUCUGCACAAAUAAAAUGUUUCAGAGGGGCUUAACUAAAAGUUUUCCUUUUAUUGGCCAAACGAAUUCGGGUUUUGGGUCGAAACCCAAAAACCCGAACCCGUUAUGCCCCUUUUUUUUAAAUGCAGACGGGUUAACGAUUAAUUUAUGCCAUAAAUUAAUUUUUUUUAAAAGAACUGAAGAUGGGUCGGCCCGACCCGUCUUCCUCCUCUUUCAGCGGCGGGUUAGCAUUCCGCCGAACCUAGCCCGCCUGCCUCCGAUCUCCGGGCGGCGAGCGCCCGCCUGCCUCCGGUGGACUCGCCGCCCGAUGGCAAGCCCCCCGGCGGUCGCACGCCCCCAGGGGCAACGAGGAGCGGCGAUCGGCGUUCAUGCAGUCUGCUGCCGGAUGCAACGCCGCCCGACGGCGACUACCCGAGCGAUCGUGCCGCCCGCAGGAAUCCGCCGCCCGACGGCGACUACCCGAGCGAUCGUGCCACCCGCAGGAAUCCGCCGCCCGACGGCGACUACCCGAGCGAUCAUCCUGCAAGUUUUUUUUAAUAAUCUAUGAAGUGUGUGAUGGAGGCCAUGGCCGGCGGCUACGCCAGAUCCUUUGAUGACUCUCGGCGCCAUAUGCCGGCCAGAUCCGGCAUUGGGAUGGGAUGAAAGCCAUGGCCGAGAGUCGAUGCCGGAUCCCGUGUCAGCUCUCGGUGCCAUAUGCCGGCCAGAUCCGGCAUUGGGAUGGUCCAACCCUGUGAUGGUCGGGCAAGCAUCCAUUGCCUUGUCCCUGCUAUCAUGGAGGAUUGUCCAUGGCUUGAUGGACUGUCAAAUAAUAGGCCUUUUACCGUGAUCUAGUUCUACCCUUUUAUUAUGAUCUAGUUCUAGAAUGAACCUGGCUCUGAUACCACAUGUAAACAUGUGUAAAUAGGAUCAUAAACAGAACCAUGAAGGGUAGCGUACCUGGAUCCAUGGAUUUGCUGAACGAUCAGUAGUUCUUUUCUCCCUCAUGACCCCUGUUUAAACACCCGAUGAUGGAGACCGAUUUUGUGUUCUCGUUAUAGGCAGAGGUUGAGACCCCUUCGUAUAUCCUACCAUCAAGGAUAUUAUGCUUCCACUUCUCUAGGAGUCAGUUACGAUGAUUGUCGUAACUGACCACGUUGUGGUCAUGUGGGUCAAAACUAACAGUAAUUAUCAGUCUAGUUUGAUCUAGCUUGCCCUAAACCCUAUGUGGUGGUAGUAGUUCUUGCUCGGCUUCCAUUAUAAUUAGCGGUUCAUGUGCUGGUAGUGGUACUGGUUUUUGUACGACUGCUACUAUAUAUUAUUAAAACAGAGGUGUUUUAUUGUGCUUUUUUAUUUUUAUUAGAGUAAAAAAACAAAUUUAUACCAUAGCUUAUCAACAUGAGAGGUUGUCGGAAAACUUCUUAGUGAGCACGAUAAACGAUAUAGUUAAACAAGAGAUUACCAAUCAUCUCGUAGUAAUUUCUCGAAGAAAACACACAAUAUUUAUCUACUUUUGCCCACAAAUGGGAAAAAAGAAAGAUCACUCCCUAUAUUGAUUUGAGUAUGUGGUACUUCACAACAUAUACAGAUGCCGGUCCGUUCUUCGGACUGCAAGAUUUUCUUUUAUGUACAGAUGAUUCUUAUAUGCAGGUUCUCAAGAACAAUGUUUCGAUCCCAUCGGACAGGCUUUUCCUGUCAACAGCGCAGAGAGAUAUUGGUGCUUCACACGUCUCUUUUACGAUAGAAAAGGAAAGCCGAUACGGAAAGUGCCGGUGGGCAAAGGCAGCUGGAAUAUGUGCCUCACAGAGUCCAUGAAGAACGGAGAUGGAAAAUAAUGGUGCAAGCGAAAAUUGAAGUAUGACAAGAAUGAAGUUGACACACUCAAGUUCAAGAUGACACAAUAUUCGCUUGGAGGAAAAGAUGAUAAGGUGAGAACUAAGAAAAGCUCGGAGGAAAGUUUAGCUCUCGACCCUUUUCUGCUUUUUCUGGUAAAGAUCUUUAAGUUUGGCUUGAAAGUUAUUGCCAGUUUGCCCAGACUUACUCAUUGAUCCCAAGUGACGCAUCUAAUAAGAUUGAUGGUCUCUCUUGCCAUCGCUAUUGCAGCCCAACUACGCUAUCUGUCAGAUUUCUCGGAUCACUAACACGGCGGCUGGAUUUCAGGGCGCCGCAGGGGACUCUCGUCCUCCAGGCACAGGUCAGAGGGAUCUCUCCCAAAACGACGUUGUACCACCAAUUUUAGGGAGAAAAAAAAAGAUGGUCAAGAUUUUUAAUUUGAUAAGUAAAAUACCACAUGCAUGCAAGUAAGAGAGAAAAUUUAAUAUUACCUAGAAAUAACAAUCACUUGAGCAAGAUAUAUUCCACUCGAGAAUAAAUCAAAUUGCUUGCAUCUAUGUGCCUUACUUUUUUCCAAUUCAUGCAUCUGAAUUUUCUUUUCCAGUUCGUUGUUGCUAUAAGCAAGCUAAUUUGUUUCAUUAAUUGUGCGGCAUACUAUGGAACACAUGUUUCAUGCAUACAAAAACUUCUCGUAAUGUGAGCAUUUUCUGUGACUUGUGAAAAUUAGUGGAAUAAAUGGACGUUUAGGUGAUGAUUUGUUUUUUAAUAAGCGUGGUUCGAUGAUGAGUUGCCAGGCCCGCAUCUCAUACACCCAGUGAACUUUGUGAGCUUGCACUAAAAGGCACCCCCAAAAAUUUUCUUUAAUUAAUUAUCUUUUAAGUUUUAGGAGGAUCCCUAGUUUCAUGAUUUGUCGCUCCUUUGAUUAAUAUGUUUCUAAUUAUUGAGAUGCUUGGAUGUUUGAAACAUUUUUAGUUGCCAUUUUUAAAACUUAAAAUAUAGUUGGCUGCCUGGGUACUCACUUGAACGCGAGAUGGUGGGAUGGGACUUUUAUUAAUUAGAUGGAGUGAAUUCCCAUAAUACCCCUACUUUCUCUCACAGAGAGGUUCCUUUUCGGACAAAUUCUUUCCUUUACCUUGACCAUGAAGUGCCAUNNNNNNNNNNNNNNNNNNNNNNNNNNNNNNNNNNNNNNNNNNNNNNNNNNNNNNNNNNNGUCUCAGUUAUUUAAUCAGUUUUAUGGGCCCUUCCAUCAAGAGAGAAGACUCGUAGCCAGCUCCUGUUCCCGUUUUAUAUGGGGCCUUUGCUUCCUUUUGGUUAGCCUCCCGGGGGCCUUCCAUUGGCCCGAGGCCUUAGGCGACUGCCUCGGUCGCCUAGGGCUCGGGCCGACCCUGGUGCAAUAAAAGAGAUACAAAGACUAUAGGAUAAAUUUAAUUUUAACUAAUUUAUACUUUUAAAUAAUAUUUUUAAAUUUUUAUGUACUAAAAAUAUAAAAUGUUAUAUACAUAUUUCUCAACAAACACCCUAAUAAACUCAUAUAUAUAUAUUUUUUUGUAUGCAUGAAACAUGUGUUCCAUAGUAUGCCGUACAGUUAAUGAAACUGCUCAAGUGAUUAUUAUUUUUAGAUAAUGUAAAUUUUCCCUCGUGUGCGCAUGCAUGUUGUAUUUUACUUAUCAAAUUAAAAACCUUGACCAGUCUAUAUUUUUUUCUCCCAAUACCUGGUGGUACAACAUCGUUUUGUGGGAGAUCCCUCUGACUUGUGCCAGGAGGACGAGAGUCCGUUGCAGCGCCCUGAAAUCUAGCCGCCGUGUGAGCGAUCUGAAAAAUCUGAUAGACAGCGUACUUGGGCUGUAAUAACGAUAGCAAGAGAAACCAUCAAUCUUAUUAGAUGCAUCGUUCGGGGUCAAUGAGAAUCUAGGCAAGCUAGCAUUUACUUUCAAGCCAAACUCAAAAGGUCUCUACUAGAAAAAAAGCGAAAAAGGGUCGAGAGCUAAACUAUCUUCUGAGCUUUUCUUAGUUCUCACCUGAUCAUCUCCUCCUCCAAGCGAAUAUUGUGUCAUCUUGAACUUGAGUGUGCCAACUUUAUUCUUGUCAUACCUCAAAUUCGCUUGCACCACUUUUCUCCACCCCCGCUGCCUAUGGUCUUUGUAACACGCAGAUUCCAGCUGCCUCUGCCCACCGGCACUUUCCGUAUCGCCUUUGAUUGUUUAUCAUAAAAGAGAGGGGUGUAGCCCAGAUCAAGUUUGAUUUGAUUACUCAAAUGACUUGGGCUACACCUCUGAACCUAAAUCAAGUUUCAUCUUGGUCUAAUCAAAGACAUGGACUUUAUCCAUCUACAGCUAUUGUAAAUUGAUCUAGAAUUUUCUUAACCUAAUCUAGUUACUACUUAAUUAGAUUUGAUCAAUUAAUUCUAUUAGUCCAUGUAUGAUUCUAACCUUAAGUCUAACCCAAUCAUAGGAACAUGAUUCAAGCUAACCCAUAUGCCCAAAGAAUUAUGCAAUGUCAAUUAAUUGAGUUACAAUUCUAUUUCAUAACACUUAAUUCUCAAUUAAAUUUAGACUUAUGAAAGUUUUGAUCAUUGCAUAUUUCUUUUAAUUACAUAUUAAUUACAAUCCUUCAGUUCUUAAAACUCAUUUUCAGAUCUGAGUAUUUGUAAUUAAUCAUAUAUAAUCAGGUUUAAUUCAUGUUUAAGUCAUUUUGUUUUAUGUUGAUGCAUCACAUAUACAUAACAUGAAUUGAUACAAACAUACAUCUUAUGCAUUUGUUUUUUCACUUUUAUUUUCAGAUCUGAUUUGUUCAUUAAAAUCAGAGAUUAUAUGAAUCAUAAACUUUAUUUAGAUCUAAUCUAAACAAUAUUAUGAUUUCAGAUUUAUUUAUGUUACUAAUCCUAACACAAACAUGCAUCAUAUGCAUCCAAAAUUUCAGAUCUACUUAAUCAUGCAUAAUCAGCAAUUAAAUCAAUCAUAAAAAGCACUUUAGAUCUAAUCUAAACAUGUUAAUAAUUUCAGAUUUAAUUGCAAAAAUUAAAAUGUAAAAGUUUAAAUAUGAACCUGGCUCUGAUACCACUGAAAGUGAAUCCUAGGUUCUUCGGAAUUUAGCAUGCUGAAUUUUUUUUUUUUGAAAAACCAUGGCUGAACCUGAUCGGGUUGCCUACGUACCCCUUCAUAAGAGGGAUCAAGCCACACGUAGUUCUUUUUAAGUUUCAAAAACGGAGCGAAAAAAUGAAUCAAACAAUUUAAUUCAUGCAUGCUUACAAGAUCAAAUCUACAAAUCAGCACAUUAAAAAACAUAGAAUUAUGCCGGAAUCGUUUAAACAAUUAUCCUAAACUUUUAUGCAUGAUUAGCUAUCAGAUCUGAAACUUAAAAACUCUAUUCCAAUUAAUCUCCAAAUAUCCAUCAAAUGGAUUCCGGAGAUGUCUCCGUGAGGAGCCCCAAAAGAGGAUAAAACCUCAAGGAAUCGGACCUAGAUCUUAACACCAUAAUAAAUGAUUAAUGCUAGAUUAAUACCUUUUAUGAUGGAUGAAAGUUGAGGAUCUGAUCCUUGACUUCGCAGCCACGCACACGAAUGGCCUCUACAAGAAGUACACGCGAAGUCCUGAAGGAUCUUCUUCCGCAACAGUGCUAGCAGUUGCAGAACACUUGAAGGCUGAAAUCUGCUCGCCGAGAUUCAAUCAACUCUUGAUCAAUCGUCUUGAAGCAGAUGGAGAUGAAAUUUGUAAGAAAGGUAGAGGACUCAGAUCUGAUCUUGAAUCUUCUAGAUAUCCACCCUGAAAAACCUAGCUAAAAUGAAGAAGAAGAGGAAGAGGAGGCGUGUGAGGAAGAAGGCUGCAAUGGAUGCUUUGCCGGCGCCCAUAUUCGACCCCUUUUAAUGGCCUCCGAAUUUCAUUCAAACUUCAAAAAUUAUCUUAAGAAAACCUCCUUUAGUUGGCGCAUGCAAUGGAAUAGGAACAACCCAAAUCAGAUAUCAACCAAAUCUGAUUUAAAUUCAAAUUUUAAACACAUGCGCAAGAGGAAAGGAAUUUGAAAUCCAUGCGGCAGAAUUUUCCUUCCUCUUGUCGCAUAUAUUUCAUUUGAAAUUCGAAUUUAAAUGAUUCAGAGGUUCACACGCCAACUUGAGAAGUUAUUUGAUGUAUGAAAUCAUUUAAUAUAUUGUUUAAUGUUUGAAUUCAAAUUCAAACAACAAACAAUGUCGCCAUAUGUCAUGCAAUGGGUCCAUGCGCCAUGCAAUAAUUUUGGUUUAUUUAAAAUUCAUGAAAUCCAAUUUCAUGUCACCACUAAUUGCCACAUCAUCUGAAAUUAAUCCCCUUGGGUUGCACCUAAUCAAAUUUGGUCAAACCCGGAUUACAACAAAGCAAUUUGGUUGAACCCAAUCUAAUCAGGUCAGACCCUGAUUGAGCUCAAAUUGAAUCCAAUUCAAUUUUUGGCUCAUCUAAACUCAAUCAAAUUGAAUUAAUUACUUUUUGUUGGACCUAAUCCAAUUAGGUCAAUCCCCAAUUAAGCGCAAAUUAAUUUAAAAUAAAUUUGAUCAGCUUAAGUCCUUUUUGGUUCUGAUCUAAUCCAAUGAGGUCAAAACCCUGAUUGAGCCCAAAGUUGAAUCCAAUUCAAUUUGGCUCAUCCUUAGCUCAAUUACUCAAUCAAAUUGAAUUCAUUAGCAAUAUAAUUACUAAUUAAUCCUCUGAUAAUUAAUUUAAUUAUUUUAUAAGAUAAUUUGCCAACUGAAUUGACCAAAUUAUCCCUAAAGAUUCUUUAUCAUUCAUCAGCCUUCUUGAUCAAUCAGGAAUCUUCUAUGCGUGUGACCUCAUAGGUUCGAACCUAAGCCGGUAGUAUAGGAACGACUUCCUACACUAAUCAACGUAACCAUCUAGCAAUGGUACCCGACAUCCGGAUAGGCCGAAUAUAUGCGAAACAAAUAUUCUGGAAUCCUGGACUAUGGUUACUGAAUAAUUCAAUCCCUUUGACUCCUAAUGCCAGGAUGACUUAGAGCUCACUGUCAACCCUAUAAUUAGUACAUCCAUUAUGUGAUUAACUUUAGAUAUCCCGUGACUCCCUACUAGGAUUACCCUGACCAAGAUUUUGCUAAAUUAAUCACAAGACAUUAUCUCCUGUUUUUCAGGAGGGCUCAAUUCCAUCCUCCCUCACAACUGACUACGCAAGUACUUGACUGCACCUAGUGAC